rnacentral:lncRNA from 1 species
UAUGAAAUGUGAGUAUCAGAGUGCCUAUACUAUAUUCCAUGACAAACUGAACCGUUCUCUCUUCUCUAUGCGUGCGCGUGUGUGAAAGAAAGGAUGAGUUCUAUGCAUUUUAAAAAAGGGAAAGUACAUACUGGCAACCCCUCUGAGCUAAAUGGUAAGCAAUGUUAUUGCAAAUGUCAUCACCAUUGGAAGUAAGCAACACCUUCUUUCCACGAUUUUCCAUUUCCACGCUAAACUAAAGAAGAUUGCACUCGUCUCCAAAAAAGUAGCUCAGGCAAAGAACGACUUAAAGUUCCAAGAUAACAGAUGUUCCUGAAAAGAAAAAUGCAUACACCCAGGAAAACACUGUCGAAGAUUACUGGAUGUUAUAUUUUAUAAACAUGAUUAAGAUUAAACAUUGAUAAGAAGUCUUUAAUUCAUAGUAUGGGAAUAGCUACUACUGAUAUGAGAAAGCAAAAUCUUUAUUUAUGAUCUAUUAGACCCAUGAUUAACGUGGGGAAAAUAUAUAAUUCACCAUAAGUCAAGCAGACAUUGCAAUUAACAACUAAAAUCAUCUAGUCAAUCCUGAGCUCGAGGACAACAACAACAACCCAGUAAAAUCCCUCUAGUGAGGUAUGGGGAGGGUAGCUUACACCUACCCGAAGGAGUAGAGAGGCUGUUUCUGGAGUUCAGGAAUACAUACAACAACAACAACAACAACAACCUAGUGUAAUCUCACAAGUGGGGUCUGACCCCAGCUUGUGAAGGUAGAGAGGCUGUUUACAAAAGACACUCGGCUUAAGAAACAGUAAACUGGAAGCAACCAACUAUAAGAACAACAAGAAAAAACAAAGACACUACGUGUAAUAACACACAAAAACGUUGACCCAUAUCAUAAAACACCCAUCAAUUUCCAUUAGAACGAAAAACAAAACACCGAUCAAUUGAAAACAAAUAAACAAACAAAAAAGAGGAAAAAACAUAGAACACCCAUCAAUUUUAUUUUUCUUUCUUUUACUAAUAGAACAUAAAACAUAUAAAAUUAUCAGUAACAUCGUUGAAUCAAAAGAAGAAAUGCAAAGAUAAAUUCUUUACCAGCUGCUCGAUCCGGGAAAAAUCAGAAACACUGAUCUACAGUUGGCCCUGAAUUGAAAAAAUUUAAGUAGGAAGUUAGUUGGGAUGGUCAAGAAGCUUCAGUGUAUAUAUAUGUAGACCCAGAUAGUGACUGGUAGGCAAGGGUAAUUAAUUACCAAAAUUAGACCACAAAAAAUAAAUACUGGAGACAAAACCACGUGUUUCGCGCUGUAAUGACAGUAGCUGUCGGAUAGCUUGCACGCAUCUCAAUUGAUUUUACUGAAAAUCAGCUUAAGAAGUGUUUUUUUUUUAAAAAGUCGCUAAUUAGUUUGAAAAACACUUCUGAGUAGCAAUUAGUAUUUGACCAUGCUUUAAAAAACUGCUUCUAAGUAUAUUUUCUCAAAAGUGCUUCUCAAAAAAGUGCUUUUGAAGAAAAACUACUUUUUUCGGCUUCUCCAAAAAUACUUCUGCUUCUUCUCAAAAGCACUUUUUUUCUUUUCAGAAGUUUGGCCAAAAACCUUAAAUUGAGGGCAAAAGUGCUUUUGAAAAGAAAAAAAAAUACUUUUGGCCAAAAACAAACUUGACCAAACAAGUUAUAAAUUGCCUAGUAUUUUUGGCCUUUCAUGAAAUUUCAACAUGUGAUUUCACUUAAUUUUUUAGGGGUUUCUAAAAUCUGUGAUGCGAAAAAUAUAUUUAUAUAACCUUAAAUAAUAAUAAGUAACAUAUUAUAGCAUAGUAUUCAUUAGGGGUGUACAAAGGAAAUCGACAAACCGCACCAACCCGAUAAUUCGAGUCAAACCGAGAAAAAAAACUCGACUAUGGUUUGGUGUUGGAAAAAAAACCCGACCAUAAUUGGUUUGGUUUGGUUUUAACUAAAAAAUAAAGAAAGUCAAACCGAAACCAAACCAACCCGACAUUACAUAUAUAGAAAUUUUAGAUAUAUUUAAUAUAUAAAUAUAAUUACUGUGAUUUAAUUUAUAAAUAUUUCUUAAAAGAUUUCAUAAUUUUAUCUUUUGAGGUAUUAUUUCAAGGUUGGACUUAGAAAUUUUAAAUGUUCCAAUAAGUUUUAUAGUCAUUAACAUUGUAAAAAGUGCACGCGGCGCCCUAUUUGGUUGCCCCCAUUUAACCUAUACCCAUUUUUUUAAAAACUUUUAACUUGUACCCACUUUUUAAACAACUUCAGCACCCUUUCUCCUCCUCAAAGUUAUAUCCGCCUCUUCUUUCUCAAACUUCUCCUUCUCCCUUUUCUGCAAAAGUAAGGUAUCAAACAGAUCGCAUGAGGUUAUAAAUAAUCCUUAAUAAAAAGGACUAAGAGAUAGCAACGAAGAUCCGAGUUGAUAUACAAUGUUCUAACCCUGUGGUUGCACCAUUUCUAGCUAGAGAAUGAUACACGAGAUAUUUGCAGUAGUUGUGUUAGUUGGAUAGAGACGAAGGAGAUUGCAGAUUAUGCUAUGAAGCCUUUCUCUGGUUCAGUGACACUUUACAGUAGAAUAUAAAACUCUACUAUUUCUAGACCAAGGCCUUAUCCUGUACCUCGUACCUGUCAGGAGAUCAUCCACCUCUUUCCACUGACGUUGCCACUCAUACACUUUCAAGUAUCCGUUAGACUCCAGUUUCAUAUAUUUAAGGCGGACGAUAACAUAAAAAGCUUAUUUUUUCCGAAAAAACUUCAGCUCUAGAGCUGAAGUUCGCCAUUUACAAACAAAAACUUCAGCUCUAGAGCUAAAGUUCGACAGUUACAAAACAAAAACUUCAGCUCUAGAGCUGAAGCUUACAAACAAAAACUUCGUCAGUUACAAACAAAAACUUCAGCUCUAGAGUUGAAGUUCGAUAGUUACAAAAUAAAAACUUCAGCUCUAGAGCUGAACUUCAGGCCCGACUACUAGAAUGUUGAAGUUUUGCGCGAUUGCCUUUGUUACUUCAGCCCCGUAUGCUGAAGUUAUGCGAAAAAACGGGUACGCUUGCAAUUUUUUUUGCAAAGCGGACACAAGUUAAAACGUGACACAAAAAGCGGGUAUAGAUGCAAAUGCACCAUUAACAAUAGUAAAUUAAGUAGUGCUAGCAAAAACCCAAACAAAAAUCAAAUCAAUACUAAUGCUAACAAAUUAAAGAUAUUCAAUUCAAUACUACGAACGAGAAUGUAUUGAAUAUCUAUUUUUUGUUUCGCAAUAAUUUAGAUAAAAAUGAAUAACCUAUUUUUAUUUUUCCUUUAGCGUUUAGUCAUGUAAUUAAUACUCCCUUAUUAGUUUACUUAUUUUAGCAUGACUUAGUACUUUUAGAUUAUGUUUAUUUUUUAUUAUUUUUUAAUUAGCAAUAUUUAUAUUACAUAAUUUUAUUGACUUUAUUGUUGAAUAUUUUAGGAUAAUGCCAUGACAUAUCUCAUAUUUUGUAUUAUUUUCUUGAAAAAUACUUUAUAUAGUUGUAUCUUACUAGGACUAAAGAAAUACUUUGAGCACAAUUUAUUUGUUUUGUUCUACGAAUAUUUUACCGGAAAAAAAAUCCGAAAAACCCGAAUAACCCGAGAAAAUCCGAAAAAAAACGAGAGUGAAAAAUCUGAGUUUUAUUGGUUUGGUUUGGUUUUUAGAUUUAAUAACCCGACACAAUUGGUUUGGUUUGGUAAUUGUAAAAUCCGAACCAACCCGACCUAUGUACACCCCUAGUAUUCAUUAUAGUGAUAAUAUAAAAAAAUCAUUACAGUAUCAGUGUAUAUAACAUGAAUCUUAUUUCAUUGAUUUUUUUAAGAAAAGUAAAAUUAUUAAUCAAUUAUGAUUACACUUCUGUUUGAAAAUGAGUCUUGGCGUAACUGGUAAAGUUAUUGUCAUGUGAUCGGGAUAUCACGAGUUUGAGCCAUAUAACAAUCUCUUGCACAAAUGCAGGAUAAAGUUAUGUGCAUUAGACCCUUGUGAUUCGACCCUUCUCCGGACCCAUAUAUAGCGGGAGUUUAGUCCAUACAUUUUUGUUUGAUUCCUUGAUUCUUCUAUAACGUAGGUUGAUGCAUACUUAAUUGAGAUGUGUUUAAUUUCUAUGAAAGUCGAGCAACACUUUGUAUUGAUCAUGAGGAACGACUUCUCUUAAUCUCUCAUUUUUGUUUCUUUAAUCGAGGGUCAAAGUGGUGUAUCUCUAGAGCAAAAGAUUUAUGGAUCUUUUUGAAUUAUUUGAUUGUCAAGAAACGUCAAAUCGUAUUUCGAAUUGAUAUUGAGGAAAAAUAUUUUAACAACUAAAUUUCGUUCCUGAAAAUAAUAAUCAAGACAAAAAAUAUAGCGACAAACAUUAUAUUCGAUUUCAAGUGAUAGGGUUACAAUCUCUAAAAACAAAUCCAAAAAAACGUAGUCCUCAGAUUCUUCUCCUCACAAAUGAUUGUUCAAGAGCUUGAGAGCUUGAUCUUGAACUUGACAGAUUUCAGAUUUGUGGUGCAUCGUGAACAUUUUGAAGAUCGUCACGAACCGGGAUUUAGUGUUGGUUAUCAUGAGCAGAAGAUUUGAAGCCGAUCGCCUAUGAUUUCAGUUCGCCUUUGGGAUUUGACCUUGAUGUUGUUUUCCAGAGCUUCUUUAGCAUUUCCUCUGCUUACUUGAUUGUUCCUUCUUUUCUUACCCUGUGACCCCCUUUAUAUAGGUGUGGGUAGAGUAGCUUUCAAGAAAACCCUAGUGUGUCAUUGGGCUGGAGGCCUAUGGGCCGAUCCUUUUGAUGGAAGAAUGGACUAGCCCAAUUUUAUUGGACUUUUAUUUAAUUCAAUUAAAUUAGAUUUAAAUAAUUGACUUAAUCAUACUAGCCCAUAAUAUUUGUUUGGUCUAGUAUAUAUCCAAUCAUGGUAAAAUCCAAAUUUUGUAUGGAUUUAAAUUUAAUAAAAAAUUUAAUUGUCUACAAACGUUUCUUGAUCACUUCGACUUUGAAAAAAUAUUAUUUUAUUUCCUGAUCUCUUAGUAAAUAUUUGAAAUUUAUGAACUUUUUUAGAUUUUAUUUUCAUUUAAGUACCUACCGAGUUCCUGGUCUGUGCCAUGCGAAAAUAUGCAAGGUUGUUGUGCUCGGCUCCAAUUUGGACCUAUUUGGUUUAACAUUAGAAAUUAAUAAAAUUAAUCAGUUCCGUUUAAUUAAUGUAAUACUCGUAAUUGCUGGCUUACGGAGAAAAAAGUCUCGUUGGCCUAAUAAUAUGAUCAGAUUAGGUACAUUUAAUUAAAUGUUCUAAUGGACCACUAGUAGCAGGCCAUGAAAUUAGCUUCAACUCACAUCUACUUUGCUUUCAAAUUUCAAACACUUUAAAUGAUUAAAUCGCUACAAAUAUAAUCUGAUUAUAAAAUUUGAAAUUGAUUACACAUAGAGCUAACGAUAUAGAUACUUACCAAAUUUUUGGUUAACUUCGAUAAGCCAAACUCUUCAAAUAAGUGAUGUCAUAACUAUGAACCAAUUUCAAGGUUUAAAGUGAAUGCAAGUUUAUUAAUUAAUUAAUUAUCUAGAUGAAAAGUUUGGAUUCUAUGUGAUUAAAACCUAGCUAGGAUAUUUAAUUUCCCUUAUUGCCUUUGUGACUAAAUAACACUUAUCCUAUUAAAUCUCAUUUGGUAGUUAAUCAUGGUUCUAUAUGGGUCAAAAUCUGACCAUAUGUGGAUUAGCGCUAAAAGGAAUGUUAAGGGGUCGACUAAGCCAUGAUCGUAUCUACAAGGUGUAAUAACGACGAGUACCCGGCCAAUGCCGAGAUCGAGCUAUUAGAAAGCUUGUACAGCGAAAUAUAUGUCGUAAUACUUAAAGGGAGCGAUAUAAAGUACAGUCAAGAGAUAGGUUGUUCUGGGUAANNNNNNNNNNNNNNNNNNNNNNNNNCCUUAUCGCCGAAGUUCCAAAAGCCCGUCACAUUGCAUGAAUUCUUUCUUGGAAAAAUCCUUCAUGGGAGGAAAUGCUCUCGGCACACGUUAAGCCAAGGUAGGCUAACUUGCACCGUCAAUGGCUAGAAGGCGUAAACAACCAGUAACAGCGACCGUUACUGUCACACCUCCUUUUUCCUACACCCCCGGAAGAGAGUAUAUAAGGGAGUUUUUCCAAUUUAAGUGACAAUCGAAACAUGACUUAUUUUUAUUAAAAAUCAGAGUCGCCACUUGGGAUAAUUUUAUGGUGUUCCAAGUCACCAGUUCAAAUCCCAAAUCGAGGAAAAGAUUGACUCUGUAUUAUAGUCCGCGAACCAGAAAUCCAGCUAAAGAAUUCUGUUAAGCCGAGAGAAGGUGUU